AGAGUUUGAUUAUGGCUCAGGAUGAACGCUGGCGGCGUGCCUAACACAUGCAAGUCGAACGGGCGCGGCGUGCGGCGGGGGCCUCGGCCCCUGCGGCGCCGCGCGAGUGGCGGACGGGUGAGUAACGCGUGGGCAACCUGCCCUGUACUGGGGGAUAACACCUGGAAACAGGUGCUAAUACCGCAUAAGCGCGCCGCGCCGCAUGGCGGGGCGCGGAAAACCCCGGUGGUACAGGAUGGGCCCGCGUCUGAUUAGCUGGUUGGCAGGGUAACGGCCUACCAAGGCGACGAUCAGUAGCCGGCCUGAGAGGGUGGACGGCCACACUGGGACUGAGACACGGCCCAGACUCCUACGGGAGGCAGCAGUGGGGGAUAUUGCACAAUGGGGGGAACCCUGAUGCAGCGACGCCGCGUGGGUGAAGGAGCGCCUCGGCGCGUAAAGCCCUAUCGGCAGGGAAGAAGAUGACGGUACCUGACCAAGAAGCCCCGGCUAACUACGUGCCAGCAGCCGCGGUAAUACGUAAGGGGCAAGCGU
rnacentral:rRNA from 1 species